UUCAUUUCUCAUAUUAUUCAUUGUUAGCUUGUUAGUUUUAUUUAUUAACAAUAAAUUCAAUAUUUUGAAUGUGUGGUGUCUGCUAAUGCUUUGUUUGGUUGCUGGGAAAACUCAACAAGAGUGAUAUAUGGUCGAGCUGUUGAAUGAUAAUGUUUCAUGAAUUAACUAACAAAUACGAGAUUUAUGGUCGACCCUGAUUACACCAACCGUAGAUUAGUAUGUUGAGGAUUCACAGCUGACCCCAUUUGAGACCAUGGCUUUGUUGUUGUUGUCCCGAUAGGAAUCUUUCUUAGAAUCUCAAAAUAGACUAGCAUUUCACCUGCUUGUUGUAUUUGUUAUCCUCUGUUAAGCUGUUGGUAAUAAUUUAUUACUUCUCGACUUUGAUUUGUGUUUCUUUGGGGUUUUUUACUUUUCCUUGCAACUCCUUUACUGAUUUAUACUUUGGUACCUUUUGUGCCUGUAAAUUGGAGCAUUCAAGAGUAUAUGGUUAUUGAGUUGGGUUUUAUAUGAUUUACGCCAAGCACUGUUCAAUUUGUCCAAGCAUGGAGUUUGGCUAUGUUAAAGAUAAGACAUGGAAAAUGACACACAAGUAGAGUUAAUUAUCUGCAGAUAUAUUGAGAAUAUUUCCUUGAUGUUUAUAUGAGCUUGGUGUUGGAAUUUUUCUCACCUUUUGGAAGAAAGUAAUAACAAUUGGGAGAUUUCUCAAAAAAAAGAGAAAGUAAUAACAAUUAGGAGACUUAUCAAAAAAAAAAAAAAAAAAAAAAAGUAAUAACAAUUAGGAGCUUACCAAAAGCUGGAUAGAGCCUUAGAGUUAUAACGGCAAUAUACCUUAUGAGAUCAUUGAAAAAGAAGGACAAUAAUGAAGUUUUUAGAUGGACAAUCUUACUUCUUAGAGACGAGUCAGGUUACUGACCACCCUAGUAACUAUUCAAUUAUUCUUUCUUUCUUCUUUCUAUUCAUGCUUUGGUAGUAUAUUAUAAUUCCUCAGAAGCACAUUGUUUUUCUCUUGGAAAUUGCGGUAAUCCUCUGGUGCCAGAGGAAUGCUAUCAUCCAAAAUGGCCCGGUCUUGACUGAAGAACAGAUCCUGACAGAGAUCAAGAAAGAUGUUAGUGGUCAACUUGAAUUCAAAGUAAAAUUCCCCAAUUCCACUCUAAACAGGAUCCUCCGCUACCAUUAAGGCUUAAAAAACUCUAUUUUGAUAUCUGACACUCACUGAUCUGAAGAUGCUGCAGUGCAUUACUGUCUCUGCUUAGUUGCUGAGUUGUGUACAGGCUGCUUACUUGGUGUCUGCCGACUGCAUCUAUCUGCAAACAAACAUAGCAGCCUUCCUGCAUAAAGACGCAGGAUCAGGAAUGUAUUAGUGGAGUGAUUUUGGCAAGCUGCUGGCUGUUUGUUGGACUAAUCUUCUCCUGUUCAUGUUCUCAGCUGGUGGAUAGUUGAUUUACAUCUGUGGUUAAUUGAUAUUUGAUAGGAUGACUUUGUGUAAUUGUUAAAAUUUUAGUCUAUAGGGGGAACUUGGCCCGGUAGUUUUGCCAGUGGUGUGACCUCUCAGUCUUUUUAUAGUUUGUUUUCUUUGUUUCAUUAUUAAUAAAAUCUCUGAUUCAUAUAAAAUAAAUAAAUAAAAUUGCAGUAAUGCUUGUAUUGAUUAUUAAAAAAUGAAGUUGAAAAAACUAACUAAAUUUGUAUGAUGAUAUGAUCACUCUUAACUGCGAUAUGGAUUAUGAAGCAGGAAGAUGGUACACCACCUAAGAUGGAAUAUGGUACUAUACUACAAUGGAGGUACCAUGAACUAAGUAGGGGGCUGUUCUGAGGUUUUAAUAGGAAAUUGCAUAAAAUCUAGGUAUGAUUUUCAUGAUCAGAUCUUGUCUUAAAAAUUUCUCCAUGAAAGGGGAUAAUUUAGUAAUCUUUCAGAGGAAAUGAAUCUGUUCUUGCAAGUUGCAUCUGAUUGGAACUUGGUGAGUUUAUCCCAUUUUUCUUGGCACAAUUAAUUUUUUUUCAAAAUUUUUAAGGAUUUUGGAAAGUAGUCUGUUGCUUGGUUCAAAUGCUAAUACGUCUAUCCUUUAAGUUCUGCUUCAACGGACAUUCAUGUGGCUGGUGACAAUAAUCGGUUGUUAGAAAAGAUUCUGAUAUCUUUUUUCUUUUUCUUUUUUGUUUGUUGUUGGGGGGGCGGGGGACGAGGUGGAGGGGACGGGGUGGAAGUAAAAGACUAGAUUCUGAUAUCCAUAUGGAUGUGAAAUAAUUAUGCCGUAGUUAGGUCGAAUCUGCAAUAUACAAAAACGGGGUGUUGAAUCUGAAGUGAGUUCCUUUUGUUUUGUUUGGCAUCUAAAAUGAAUCAUUUGCUGCAAAUGUUGGUAAAGAACAUUAAUAAACAUUCCCGUUUCAAUUUUCAGUACGUUGCUGUGAUGGCCCAAAAUCCUGCAAUUGUUCUAUCUCAUAAAAUGUUAUCAAAUGCUAUAGGUACAGAAGAUGACAUAAAUAUUCCGUUUGAUGGUGGACUUCCAAAGAAGGCCUAAAUUGUCUCUGUAUUGUGCAGUAUUAUUUUGAUUCAGUUUCAGGAAGCCGAUUCCGGUCGAAGAAGGAGGUUCUUUACUUUUUGGAAACAGGAACCAAACGUAAAACAAGGAAACCAAGUGAGAACUCCGAUGCUGAUACGAUGGAGGGCUCUGGGGGCCAGAAGCAAAAGAAGUCUGCCACGAAGGCGAGGACUUUUGAUUUGAAAUUUGAUUUCUCUAAUGUGCCUGAGAAGGUCCAGUGGGUUCUCACAGAUUUCUCGAAAGGAUCCUGGGCUCCUUUUACUGGUGACAAAAAGGUGCCACAGACUACUGUGCAAGAAUGGGAAGCUGCAUUCACAGCCUUCAGCUCCAAAAACAAUGGUCAGAAAUUGUUUUGAAAGGCAUUUCCAAACCUUCCCAUUGUAUCAUUAAGAAUGCCAUCCUAUACUGACCAAUAGAAGUCUUUUUCUAAUUCUCUUUUCUUUUCUUUUAGCUUUUUGGGUUGGUUUUGAUGAAAUUUUCAUUCGAUAGCCAAGCUCAAUUGAAUAGCCAUUUGGCAUUUCUUGUUCUAGGUUGUAGGAUGUUUUAACUUUUUGAUAUUCCCUUUUGUUUUGUUUUGUUUUCUUUCUCUUAUAAUUAACAUGUAACUUUAGGAUGGAUUCUUGUUCAAACGAGUUUCAUUGUUGCAAGAACUCAAGAUCAAAUGUUAAGAAGGUUUUCUAUUUUUGGAAUACGAAUCAAGAUGUGAUGUGAAACGUUAAUGCUCA